CUGGACUUGCCCCGGCGAGUCGGGGACCGUGCUGGGCUGUUACUUCACGCUUCUAUGUCUGCWGCGUCUCAGCGCCUCUCCAGCGCUAUUGGAAUAGAACCUCCAGCUCCCCCACCAGCCUGGAAGCCCCAGGGAGGGAGCAGCAUUCACUUUUUCAGCCACACGCCCCAGCCCCCUCACUUAUGGAGAUGCAUGCCCGUGUUGAAUUUUCUCAGCACCCCUCUGCGAUGUUCCAGCAGCCACCACUCCAGAAGCACAUCAAACUUGGGUUCCCUUCCUUUCCUGUUCAAAGUGAGGCAGUCCACAAUUAUUUGUAGGGGAUGUCAAGAGUCCAGAAAAGCUGACUUGGAUAGAACAAGAUGUGCUAGCAUGCAGCUUGCUAAUGCUUGUACCUUCUGUGUUGGAAGCAAAUAUAGUAAUACAAGACCUGUGUGUAAAUGCAGCGUUUGCAGUCAGCAGCACAGAGCCCGAAAAUGAGGUCUAAUUAAAUGAGAAUCUC
rnacentral:lncRNA from 1 species